rnacentral:lncRNA from 1 species
CCCACAUCUUCUGAUAAUUACGGUAGGACGCAGGCAAUUGAUUUAACAACCUAAAAGCAACCUAUUGCAAGAGUGCCUGGCUGCUGACAUGGAGAAUCGCCUACGAAUUAUACCAUGAAAAUCUCUCUUUCAGAAAACGAGUGACGCUGAAGAUUUUUUUUUUUUUUUUUUUCCUUUUUAUGGCUGCGCCCACAGCACAGGGAAGUUCCCAAGCCAGGGACUGAAUCCAAGCCAUAGCUGUGACCUACGCCACAGCUGUGGCAAUAUUAGAUCCUUUAACCCGCUGUGCUGGGCCAGGGAUUGAACCAGCACCUCCACGGCACCCAGAGCCACUGUAGCCAGAUUCUCAACCCACUGCACCACAGCAGGAAUUCCAAGCUGAAGAUAUUUAGAAAGUGCCUUUUUAGAGAGAUUGUUUCAGAGCCCCUCAAAACCAGGCCAAAAGUUAAAGUUCAAACUCCAGCCUCCUAUCAGAAACAGAAGAUGUAUUUCUUUUCACAAAGAAGACCCUUGUUCUGGAGAGAUACCCCACAGGUGUACCCAGCCUGUUGAUGCUGCACAGUGUUGAUGGGAAUCCAGUCCCAGUGUGGCCGAAAGACUGCCAAGGCUAUUCACUGCUCUGGAGCUGAGGGGCCAUGUGGUCCAAAGCCCUGAUUCCAGAUACUUCAACCAUUUCUUCGUGUGGCCCAUUAUUUUAGUUUUUGUGGACCCAGAAGGCUGCCAUUUAGAGUGGCUUCAAUCAUCUAUGUGUUGGUCAGUUCAAGUAAGUGUUAACUUCAUCCCUCUCAUUCCUAGCAAGUAAGGAGAGAGGAUCAAAGUCAGCUAUUGGCAGGGAUUCGGUUUACACUGAAAGGCAUGGACAAGAAUGUUCAUAGCAGCAGUUUUAGCAAGAGCUAAUAACCAAGCUGAAAACAACUUAAUGUCCAACAAGGCUAGAACUGAUUAAAAAAAAGCACUGUUUCCAUAUAACAG